GUGUCAGCCGCCGCGGUAAUACGGAGGGGGUUAGCGUUGUUCGGAAUUACUGGGCGUAAAGCGCGCGUAGGCGGAUUGUAAAGUUGGGGGUGAAAGCCCAGGGCUCAACCCUGGAACUGCCUCCAAAACUUCCAGGCUGGAGUUCGGGAGAGGUGAGUGGAAUUCCGAGUGUAGAGGUGAAAUGCGUAGAUAUUCGGAGGAACACCAGUGGCGAAGGCGGCUAACUGGGUCGAUACUGACGCUGAGGUGCGAAGGUGUGGGGAGCAAACAGGAUUAGAUACCCUGGAAGUCCACGCCGUAA
rnacentral:rRNA from 1 species